rnacentral:rRNA from 1 species
GAUGAACGCUGGCGGCGUACCUAAUACAUGCAAGUCGAGCGAACAGACGAGGAGCUUGCUCCUCUGACGUUAGCGGCGGACAGGUGAGUAACACGUGGAUAACCUACCUAUAAGACUGGGAUAACUUCGGGAAACCGGAGCUAAUACCGGAUAAUAUAUUGAACCGCAUGGUUCAAUAGUGAAAGACGGUUUUGCUGUCACUUAUAGAUGGAUCCGCGCCGCAUUAGCUAGUUGGUAAGGUAACGGCUUACAAAGGCAACGAUGCGUAGCCGACCUGAGAGGGUGAUCGGCCACACUGGAACUGAGACACGGUCCAGACUCCUACGGGAGGCAGCAGUAGGGAAUCUUCCGCAAUGGGCGAAAGCCUGACGGAGAAACGCGGCGUGAGUGAGGAAGGUCUUCGGAUCGUAAAACUCUGUUAUUAGGGAAGAACAAAUGUGUAAGUAACUAUGCACGUCUUGACGGUACCUAAUCAGAAAGCCACGGCUAACUACGUG